rnacentral:rRNA from 1 species
UACGAAGGGGGGCUAGCGUUGUUCGGAUUUACUGGGCGUAAAGGGCGCGUAGGCGGCGUGGUAAGUCAGUUGUGAAAUCUCCGAGCUUAACUCGGAACGGCCAACUGAUACUGCUGUGCUAGAGUGCAGAAGGGGCAAUCAGAAUUCUUGGUGUAGCGGUGAAAUGCGUAGAUAUCAAGAGGAAUACCAGAGGUGAAGACGGGUUGCUAGGCUGACACUGACGCUGAGGCGCGAAAGCCAGGGGAGCAAACGGG